rnacentral:SRP_RNA from 1 species
CCGUGCUAGGCGGGGAAUCAGCGGUGCCCUGUCGCCCGCAAUCCGCUCUAGCGGGGCCGAAUCCCCGACCGAGGGGCCGGCAUUCGGAGCCGAGCCGCCGCGGGAGGCGUUGACGGCCAGGUCCUGCGCAGUGGUGGCCCGUGAACCAGGUCAGGUCCGGAAGGAAGCAGCCUUAAGCGGUAGCCGUCAUGUGAUGCAGGCAAGCCUGGCCCGAGCCGACUGCAGCGGAAACGACCGGAAGCUUCGCCUCGGAGUCGGGUGCACGG